UACGUAGGUGGCAAGCGUUGUCCGGAAUUACUGGGCGUAAAGCGCGUGUAGGCGGGUCUUUAAGUCAGGGGUGAAAUGCCAAGGCUCAACCUUGGAACUGCCUUUGAUACUGGAGAUCUUGAGUCCGGGAGAGGUGAGUGGAAUUGCGAGUGUAGAGGUGAAAUUCGUAGAUAUUCGCAAGAACACCAGUGGCGAAGGCGGCUCACUGGCCCGGAACUGACGCUGAGACGCGAAAGCGUGGGGAGCAAACAGG
rnacentral:rRNA from 1 species